GAUGAAGAACGCAGUGAAAUGCGAUACGUAGUGUGAAUUGCAGAAUCCAGUGAAUCAUCGAAUCUUUGAACGCACAUUGCGCCCCUUGGUAUUCCAUGGGGCAUGCCUGUUCGAGCGUCAUUUGUACCUUCAAGCUUUGCUUGGUGUUGGGUGUUUGUCUCGCCUUUGCGUGUAGACUCGCCUUAAAAUAAUUGGCAGCCGGCGUAUUGAUUUCGGAGCGCAGUACAUCUCGCGCUUUGCACUCAUAACGACAGCGUCCAAAAGUACAUUUUACACUCUUGACCUCGGAUCAGGUAGGGAUACCCGCUGAACUUAAGCAUAUCAAUAAGCGGAGGA
rnacentral:misc_RNA from 1 species